UAGGGAAUAUUAGAAAUGGACGAAAGUCUGAUCUAGCAACACCGCGUGUGCGAAGAAGGCCUUUGGGUCGUAAAGCACUUUUUGGAAGGAAUAGGAAGGAAUGUACUUCCAGGAUAAGUCUCGGCUAACUACGUGCCAGCAGCCGCGGUAACACGUAGGAGGCAAACGUUAUCCGGAUUUACUGGGCGUAAAGCGCGUGUAGGUGGUACUGUAAGUAGGGCGUGAAAGCUCCUGGCUCAACUGGGAGAGGCCGUUCUAAACUACAGAACUAGAGGAUGGUAGAGGGAGGUGGAAUUCCAAGUGUAGCGGUGGAAUGCGCAGAUAUGUGGAGGAACACCGGUGGCGAAGGCGGCCUCCUGGACCAUUCCCGACACUCAGACGCGAAAGCUAGGGUAGCAAACGG
rnacentral:rRNA from 1 species